rnacentral:lncRNA from 1 species
UGGUACACUAAAGACUACAAACUGCUAUUUGUAAUACUGUCUUUAAAGAAGACCUUAUGAAUAAGUGGACCUUCCUCUAGUUAUGUGGAAGACUUACUAUUAUUAAGAUGGCAAUAUUCCCCAAAUUUAUCUACAGAUUUAAUGCAAUCCCUAUCAAAAUUCCAACUUCCCAUUUUGUGGAAAUGGGCAAGCUGGUCCUAAAAUUCAUAUAGAAGAGCAAGGGACCCACAAUAGCCAAAACAAUCUUGAAAAAAAUUAAAAAGUUGGAGGAUUCACAAUUCCAGACUUCAAAACUUACUACCGUAAGACCCAACAAUUCCACUUCUAAGUAUACACACAAGAGAAUUGCAAACAAAUUGUUCAGACAAAAACUUGUAUAGGAAUGUUCAUAGCAGCAUUAUUCAUAAUAGCCAAGAGGUAGAAACAAUGUAAUGCUCAUGACUGAUGAAUGAAUUAAACAAAAUGUGGUAUAUCCAUAUAAUAAAAUAUUAUUCAGCAAUAAAAAGAAAUGAAGUACUGAUACAUAAAAAUUGGCUUAGUGUGGUGGUGCAUGCCUGUAAUUCCAGCACUUUGGGAGGUCAAGGUGGGUGGAUGGUUUGAGCCCAGGAGUUUGAGACCAGCCUGGGCAAUAUGGCAAAACCCUGUUUCUACAAAAAAUACAAAAAUUAGCAAGGCAUGGUGGCUCACCUGUAGUCCCAGCUUCUGGGGAGGCUGAGGCAGGAGGAUUACUUGAGUCCAGGAGGUUGAGGCUGCAGUGAGCCAAGAUCA